UGCCAUGGGCGAAACCUGAUGCAGCAACGCCGCGUGAGGGAUGACGGCCUUCGGGUUGUAAACCUCUUUUAGUAGGGAAGAAGCUUUUGUGACGGUACCUACAGAAAAAGCACCGGCUAACUACGUGCCAGCAGCCGCGGUAAUACGUAGGGUGCAAGCGUUGUCCGGAAUUAUUGGGCGUAAAGAGCUCGUAGGCCGGUUUGUCGCGUCUGCUUGUGAAAUCCUAAGGCUCAACCUUAGACUUGCAGUGGGUACGGGCAGGCUUGAGUGCAGUAGGGGAGAUUGGAAUUCCUGGUGUAGCGGUGGAAUGCGCAGAUAUCAGGAAGAACACCGAUGGCGAAGGCAGAUCUCUGGGCCA
rnacentral:rRNA from 1 species